GCUCGCCAGAGAAUUACAAGCGCAAGCGCAAAACCCAAAGGACUUGACGGUGUCCCACAUCGACCUAGAGGAGCCUGUCCUAUAAUCGACACUCCACGUUUUACCUCUCCCCCUCUAGUAUUACAGCCUAUAUACCGCCGUCGCCAGCCCGCCUAAUGAUAGAUACCAAGCCGGCAAAAUUGUAUACCACAAAAACGUCAGGUCAAGGUGUAGCUCAUGAGCGGGUCAGAGAUGGGCUACAUUUCCCACAAUUGGAAAACGACUAAACACUCAAUGAAAAUAAGCCAUAAGGCGGAUUUAGCAGUAAGCGCGAAUAAGACAUGCCACACUGAA
rnacentral:rRNA from 1 species